rnacentral:rRNA from 1 species
GACGAACGCUGGCGGCGUGCUUAACACAUGCAAGUCGAACGGAAAGGCCCUGCUUUUGUGGGGUGCUCGAGUGGCGAACGGGUGAGUAACACGUGAGUAACCUGCCCUUGACCUUGGGAUAACUUCAGGAAACUGGGGCUAAUACCGGAUAGGAGCUCCUGCUGCAUGGUGGGGGUUGGAAAGUUUCGGCGGUUGGGGAUGUACUCGCGGCUUAUCAGCUUGUUGGUGGGGUAGUGGCUUACCAAGGCUUUGACGGGUAGCCGGCCUGAGAGGGUGAACGGCCACAUUGGGACUGAGAUACGGCCCAGAAUCCUACGGGAGGCAGCAGUGGGGAAUAUUGCACAAUGGGCGGAAGCGUGAUGCAGCAACGCCGCGUGCGGGAUGACGGCCUUCGGGUUGUAAACCGCUUUCGCCUGUGACGAAGCGUGAGUGACGGUAAUGGGUAAAGAAGCACCGGCUAACUACGUG